rnacentral:rRNA from 1 species
AGAGUUUGAUCCUGGCUCAGGACGAACGCUGGCGGCGUGGAUUAGGCAUGCAAGUCGAACGGUAGAGAGAUUUCGGUCUCUUGAGAGUGGCGAACGGGUGAGUAACACGUAGGUUAUCUACCCUCAAAUUGGGGACAACCCAGGGAAACUUGGGCUAAUACCGAAUGAGUGCAUCAGUGAUGGUGCAUAAAAGAUGGCGUAAGCUGUUGUUUGAGGAUGAGCCUGCGCUCUAUUAGUUAGUUGGUGAGGUAACGGCUCACCAAGGCGAUGAUAGAUAGGCGGCCUUAACGGGUGGUCGCCCACACUGGGAUUGAGAUACGGCCCAGACUCCUACGGGAGGCAGCAGUCGAGAAUAGUCUACAAUGGACGAAAGUCUGAUAGUGCGACGCCGCGUGAACGAAGAAUCCCUUCGGGGUGUAAAGUUCUUUUAUAUGUGAGCAAUGCUUCCUAGGUGAAUAGUUUAGGGAGAGAGAUAUUAGCAUAUGAAUAAGCAACGGCUAACUCCGUGCCAGCAGCCGCGGUAACACGGGGGUUGCUAGCGUUGUCCGGAAUUACUAGGCGUAAAGGGCAGGUAGGCGGAUAGAUAAGUUUGAUGUUAAAGGCGACGGCUUACCCGUCGUAAGGCAUUAGAUACUGUUUAUCUGGAAUGCGGUUGGGGAAGACAGAAUUCCUGGUGUAGCGGUGGAAUGCGCAGAGAUCAGGAGGAAUACCAAAGGCGAAGGCAGUCUUCUAAGCCGUUAUUGACGCUAAACUGCGAAGGUGUGGGUAUCAAACAGGAUUAGAUACCCUGGUAGUCCACACAGUAAACGAUAAUCACUAGGUGUCGGGUUCGAAGAGGAUUCGGUGCCGUAGCUAACGCGAUAAGUGAUUCGCCUGGGGAGUACGAUCGCAAGGUUGAAACUCAAAGGAAUUGACGGGGGCCCGCAC